CCAGGAGAAGCGGGAGUGCCGGAGGCUGGAGAAGGUGGAGAGGGACCGGGCUGAGGCCAAGCUGGAGGCCGAAAUAAGAACCUAUAACCCAUGGGGCCGGGGAGGGUGCGGCGCACCCCUUAGAGACACCCGAGGGGACCUCAUUACUGACCUGAAGCAUAUGCACAGGCAGAAUGAGGAAGCUUGGCUUAACCCCGAGACCUCUCAGAAUAAAGCCACAGUCACCAGGCCCACCCAGAGAGAGGACAGACUGCCUCCCAUCAACACAGUCUCAGGUUUUGCCCCUGUCCGGACCUCCAUGUAUGCCAGAGGAAAUGUGUUUCCUAACCAGCCAACGCUUCAUCAACUCACUGAACUGGAUAAGUAUAAGCUUUGUCUAAAACAACAGGUACAGUGUGAUAUGGUUU